rnacentral:rRNA from 1 species
UACGGAGGGUGCAAGCAUUAAUCGGAUUUAUUGGGCGUAAAGGGCGUGUAGGCGGGAGUGAAAGUCAGAUGUGAAAUCCCGAGGCUCAACCUCGGAACGGCAUUUGAAACUCCAUUUCUAGAGGAUAGGCGGGGAAAACGGAAUUCCACAUGUAGCGGUGAAAUGCGUAGAUAUGUGGAGGAACACCGGUGGCGAAGGCGGUUUUCUAGCUUAUACCUGACGCUGAGGCGCGAAAGCAAGGGGAGCAAAC